AGGACGAACGCUGGCGGCGUGCUUAACACAUGCAAGUCGAGCGGAAAGGCCUUUCGGGGUACUCGAGCGGCGAACGGGUGAGUAACGCGUGAGUAAUCUGCCCAUCGCUUCAGGAUAGCCAUCGGAAACGGUGAUUAAUACUGGAUAUGACAUUCCUUCGCAUGUUGGGGUGUGGAAAGUUUUUUCGGCGGUGGAUGUGCUCGCGGCCUAUCAGCUUGUUGGUGGGGUAAUGGCCUACCAAGGCUUUGACGGGUAGCCGGCCUGAGAGGGUGACCGGCCACACUGGGACUGAGACACGGCCCAGACUCCUACGGGAGGCAGCAGUGGGGAAUAUUGGACAAUGGGCGGAAGCCUGAUCCAGCAACGCCGCGUGAGGAUGACGGCCUUCGGGUUGUAAACCUCUUCAGCACAGACGAAGUUUGUCUUUUGGUGUAAGUGACGGUAUGUGCAGAAGAAGGACGCCAACUACGUGCCAACACGACCGC
rnacentral:rRNA from 1 species